AUGGCUAACUACUGGUCUGUUCAGGUUUUCUGUGGGCUUUUGUCUACCAUGCUCUUGGCCAUGGGGGCACUGGAUGGUGGGAUGGAAUGUACAGACAAGGACAGAUUACUGACAGAGAUAUCCAAAGAUCUGGACCCACCGUCGGAGUGUGUGCUAGGCUGCACUGGACUGACUUACAGAGCUAUGCUGGAGACCCAAAAUAUACAGACUGUACGCUUCAAAGACUCUACAGCAGGUGAGCAUGGAGAAUACUGCUGGUCCAUGAGAACGAAGUGUAGCCCUGGAGAGAGCCUGAUUCAUGCCUACAUCGUGUUACCUGUGGAUGUGUCACUGGUUAACGAGGAUACCCUUGGAUUGAAAGCCACUCUCCCCCACCAUAACAACAUACUAACGCCUCACAACGGUCCCACGCCACUCUCCAAACUCUGUGGCCUCCGCUUUGACAUCACAGACCAGUUCACCAUGACAAAGAGAUCGCCAAUGUUCUGCGUGCAGGUUGUCCCACAGCAGAGCACCUUGGAAAACAAAAUGCCUAUUAGAUGCCCACCUUUCCUGGUGACGAUGUGGCAGAGGCUGAAUAAGUAACCUACAAAGCAACGGAGGGGGAUGAAAUGGACUUGUUAAACCGACGACCAUCCAAAAUGUUUAAUGGCAUCAAGAUUAUUUUGUCCGAAUUGUUAGGUAACCCUUCUCCUAUUGUAAAUGCAUCUGGAUCUGAUAGUCUUGCUUAUUUCACAGCUAUCUAUCUCGUCAGCAUCAUAUUGUAUAUAACACAGUGUUUCCUUCAUAUUUUGAUUUAGCAGCGGUGCCCCGCCACUCCCCCCCCCCCCAAAAAAAAUAUAGAGUGACAAGUUACGACGUAUAUUUGGUCUUUAGAUUCCUGCUACCAUUGUCACUGCUGCUGAAAGAAAUCUUUAGGGGGGGGGGGGGGGGUNNNNNNNNNNNNNNNNNNNNGAAAAAAAAAUUUUGGGGGGGGGGGGGGGGGCGACACUGUAACAGUCACAGUAGCUUAUAUCAUGUUUAUGGAAAAGAAAAAAGGAUGUCCGAUUCAAAUGGAAAGUCAGUUAAAACAACGGAUUGUCCGAUGAAAUACCCAGAACUUUUUGACACAAGACUGUUGACUAAAUGGAGUACAAUUAACGAUGACUUGAAAUGGACUCAGUUUGGCAGCGAAUCUUUAACUCUGAGAUGUUAAGGAUGACGUUGAGAAGGAAUGAGCAGAACCCGAGGUAAAUGUAUGGAAGGUGAAAAUUAACCGUUGUAUUUGAUAGAUAGAUAGAUAGAUAGAUAGAUAGAUAGAUAGAUAGAUAGAUAGAUAGAUAGAUAGAUAGAUAGAUAGAUAGAUAGAUAGAUAGAUAGAUAGAUAGAUAGAUAGAUAGAUAGAUAGAUAGAUAGAUAGAUAGAUAGAUAGAUAGAUAGAUAGAUAGAUAGAUAGAUAGAUAGAUAGAUAGAUAGAUAGAUAGAUAGAUCAUUGUUAAUAUACUGUAUGGAUGUGUGCUUUUGGGUCAAUAGUUGAUUCUAGAUUGAGAUGACAUUUCAAAUAAUAAUAAGGCCUUUGUGUUAAUUUGUGCUCUAUUGUGUGGAGCAAACAUUUGAUGGUACAUAUGUAUAUAGAAUGUAUAAGCUUCUUAUAUGAAAUAUACAUAGUUACUAAUUUAAGUGUGUGAACACCAGAAACUGUCCUAAAGCACAUUUAUUUUACUUAACUUUUAUUAUAUUUACUUUAACUUUUAUUUUAUUUACUUUAAUUUGCUAUAACACCACACUAAUUGGUUUGAUGUAAACUGUGAGCUUUACUAGAAUGCUUUUCCAACCAUGUCAAGUAUCCACAACAUUAUAACAACUUCACGUGAUUGUGUAUGUCUGUGAGCUUGCACAAAAAGAAGGCCAUAGUUUGAUCUUACCAUAACAAAUCAUUAAAAAUUGAGAGAAUAGGAACUGUUUCAGACCUGGAUUUUUUUUUACACUUUAUAUAGAAGCAAGAAAGAGGAAAAUGGUGGACAGUUUGCAACAACAGUGGGCGUUACCUCACCACAGCGAGCUGUAGAGAGCAUUAUAUUGACUAUAGCUCCCUCUGCUGGCAGAAACACAGUAUCAUGCACAUGCCUACAUUGCCCUAUUUUACUCAGCGUGGCACAAAGCACAUUAUGGUCCCCACCAGAGCUGAAAUUAAAAUUCUAACUUGAAAAAAAUAUAUGUUCAAUGACUUCUCAAUAGGAGAAGAAGCUAUUUAUUUGAAAUGUUUUUUAUUUUUUUUAAAUGUUAAAUAAAAUCCCUUCCUGAAUUGACUGCUUUCAAUUCCAAUAGACCCCAGCCCUGGUCCCCACUCCCAGCUAUGGGAAACCCUGCAGCCACCCACUUAUUCCCUGUUAUCACAUAAUUCUACACAUUUCUAAUUCUCUACACAGCUGAAUAGGGAGUAUACAAUUUGAUGUCAAGUAUAAGAAAGACUACUGUUUGCAAAACACGUAGGAAGAUCUAGCAUCCACCAAGCUGGCCUCUUUUGAUUGUGGUGCCAGGAAGAAUCUUCAGAGAGACUCGUGCCUGGACUGUACACUGAACUGGAACAGUAUGUCCCCUGAAGAGUUUUCACCAGAGAGGGACAUGCAGUGAACUGAUGAGGGACAUGCAGUGAACUGAUGAGGGACAUGCAGUGAACUGAUGAGGGACAUGCAGUGAACUGAUGAGGGACAUGCAGUGAACCAGUGAGGGACAUGCAGUGAACUGAUGAGGGACAUGCAGUGAACCAGUGAGGGACAUGCAGUGAACUGAUGAGGGACAUGCAGUGAACCAGUGAGGGACAUGCAGUGAACCAGUGAGGGACAUGCAGUGAACUGAUGAGGGACAUGCAGUGAACCAGUGAGGGACAUGCAGUGAACCAGUGAGGGACAUGCAGUGAACCAGUGAGGGACAUGCAGUGAACCAGUGAGGGACAUGCAGUGCAAGUGCAGUAGAGUCAAAUAAAAUAAAAUACAAUUGUAUUCGUCACAUGCUUCGUAAACAACAGGUGUAGACUAAAAGUGAAAUACUUUUGAUUACAUAGUUGCUUGCCUCGAAGCGAGCAUAGAAAACCUCUAGCUCGUCUGCUACGCUUACGUCUCUGGGCAGUUCGCGGCUGGGAUUCCCUUUGUAAUCCGUGAUAGUUUGCACACCCUGCCACAUCCGACGAGCAUCAGAGCCAGUGUAGUAGGAUUCGAUUUUACUCCUGUAUUGAUGCUUUGCCUGUUUGAUGGUUUGUCGGAGGGCGUAUCAGGAUUUCUUAGAAUCGUCCAAAUGAGCUUUCUGCUCCUUGAAUGUGGCAGUGUGAAAGAUGUUAAGAGAUGACAAGCUUCCAAACAUUUGGAAAACUGUCACACCCCCAGUAAACAGAUAGAAACAUUGUAUAAACACACUGUAGUGUACAUGACCUUUGACCCACGGGACCUAAUGUAAACAACUGUGUCAUUCCAACAAGUUGGAUGCUUUUUGAGAAGUGUAACUUGGGAGAAUUGUUUUGUUGAUUUCACCUCACCUACAACAGUGUAAUUUGGGAAGACGUGUUUUUUAUUAAGUUGAACUUGUGCUAUUUAUGACAGAAUGUUAAAAUUAGGUGAAAUCUAUUUUAUCUUUUUACCAGGAUUGACCGUAACAGGGAUGACCGUAACAGGGAUGACCGUAACAGGAUUGACCGUAACAGGGAUGACAAUUUAAUCUUAAAAUCAGCCAUAAAUCCCCUUGUGACGGGGGAAUGGAAGCUUGUUGUGUGAAACAGGGAGUGGCAGUUGAAGGCAAGCUUCACAAGAAAAAAAAAGCUAAUUGUAAAAAGAAUUCUAGCCUGUCUAUCUACAGGUAACAGGGUUGACGUGUUAUCCUUGACCUGCUCAGUUUUCCACCACAAACACCAGAAAAUGGCCAAAAAGUGUAGAACCAGCUCAUUUGCUUUUACACUAUGAUUUGACUAUUAGAUGUUCAAUGUUUCUUUUGAAUAAAAAAGAAAAAAGUACGUUUCACCUUCUUAAAAUGAGAGUUCAGUU
rnacentral:lncRNA from 8 species